AUACGGAGGACGCGAGCGUUAUCCGGAUUCAUUGGGUUUAAAGGGUGCGCAGGCGGCGUGCAAGUCAGCGGUGAAAGCCCGGGGCUCAACCCCGGAAGUGCCGUUGAUACUGCAUGGCUGGAAUGCGGUCGAGGCGGGCGGGACGUGGCGGGGAGCGGGGGAAUGGGUAGAUAUGCCACCGAACGCCGAUAGCGGAGGCAGCUCGCCAGGCCUGCAUUGACGCUCGGGCACGAAAGCGUGGGGAUCGAACAGGAUUAGAUACCCUGGUAGUCCACGCCGUAAACGAUGGGCGCUCGUCGUCGGCGGCAGACAGUCGGCGGCCAAGCGAAAGCGAUAAGCGCCCCACCUGGGGAGUACGACCGCAAGGUUGAAACUCAAAUGAAUUGACGGGG
rnacentral:rRNA from 1 species